rnacentral:rRNA from 1 species
GACGAACCGUGCGAACGUUGUUCGGAAUCACUGGGCUUAAAGGGCGCGUAGGCGGGCCAGCAAGUCAGGGGUGAAAUCCCACGGCUCAACCGUGGAAGAGCCUUUGAUACUGCGGGCCUCGAGGGAGGUAGGGCGUGCGGAACUUCCGGUGGAGCGGUGAAAUGCGUAGAUAUCGGAAGGAACAUCGGUGGCGAAAGCGGCGCGCUGGACCUCUUCUGACGCUGAGGCGCGAAAGCCAGGGGAGCAAAGCGGG